GUAAUGAAAAGGGACCUGACAUGUUCCUCCUCUCAGAGUGCAAAGCCCCAGAGGAAAAUGAAAAGAUAAACCUGGGCUGUUUAGUAAUUGGAAGUCAGCCACUGAAAAUCAGCUGGGAGCCAAAGAAGUCAAGUAUAGUUGAACAUGUCUUCCCCUCUGAAAUGAGAAAUGGCAAUUAUACAAUGGUCCUCCAGGUCACUGUGCUGGCCUCAGAACUGAACCUCAACCACACUUGCACCAUAAAUAAACCCAAAAGGAAAGAAAAACCUUUCAAGUUUCCUGAGUCAUGGGAUUCCCAGUCCUCUAAGAGAGUCACUCCAACUCUCCAAGCAAAGAAUCACUCCACAGAAGCCACCAAAGCUAUUACCACCAAAAAGGACAUAGAAGGGGCCAUGGCACCCAGCAACCUCACUGUGAACAUCCUGACCACAUCCACCCAUCCUGAGAUGUCAUCUUGGCUCCUGUGUGAAGUAUCUGGCUUCUUCCCCGAAAAUAUCCACCUCAUGUGGCUGAGUGUCCACAGUAAAAUGAAGUCUACAAACUUUGUCACUGCAAACCCCACCCCCCAGCCUGGGGGCACAUUCCAGACCUGGAGUGUCCUGAGACUACCAGUCGCUCUGAGCUCAUCACUUGACACUUACACAUGUGUGGUGGAACAUGAGGCCUCAAAGACAAAGCUUAAUGCCAGCAAGAGCCUAGCAAUUAGUGGAUGCUACCACCUCCUGCCUGAGUCAGACGGUCCUUCCAGGAGACCUGAUGGUCCUGCCCUUGCCAAGAUUUCUUGUUUAAAAUAUACUCAAAAAGUUAUAAAAUAUCAGCCAGGACUAGUCAUAAAGCUUAAGCAUAGUCAACACCAUCCAACACUCGUGUAUCAUGGAUGAGCAAAGUGACAGCUACAUGGACUUAGAGGAGGAGAACGGCCUGUGGCCCACAAUGUGCACCUUCGUGGCCCUCUUCCUGCUCACACUGCUCUACAGUGGCUUCGUCACCUUCAUCAAGGUGAAGUAG